rnacentral:rRNA from 1 species
UACGUAGGGGGCAAGCGUUGUCCGGAAUCAUUGGGCGUAAAGCGCGUGUAGGCGGUCCGGUAAGUCGGUUGUGAAAGUCCAGGGCUCAACCCUGGGAUGCCGAUCGAUACUGCCGGACUAGAGUCCGGAAGAGGCGAGUGGAAUUCCCGGUGUAGCGGUGAAAUGCGCAGAUAUCGGGAGGAACACCAAUGGCGAAGGCAGCUCGCUGGGACGGUACUGACACUGAGGCACGAAAGCGUGGGGAGCAAACAGG